AAAAAUGUUGAAUAUCAACAAUGGGUUUCAGUGCUGUAUUGUUGAGUUUUGUAUGAACUAAUCUAGCUUCUCUAAAAAAAAAAAAAAAAAAAAAAAAAAGAAAGAAAAGAAAGAAAGAAAAGAAAGAAAGAAAGAAAAAAAAAGAAAAGAAAAAAAAGAGAACCACAGCUUUGGACAAAAGUCUAUAGCCAGUGCAUUUGAAAACUCCCCUUGCACCAGGGCUGACUGUAGCUGGGGGAAGACAUUUUACUCAUUUGCUCUUUCCUUUCAUACAGUCAGCUGGUCCCUCUUCUCAGGUGUAGAUCACCUAUUAUAAUUUUACCUAAUUUUGAUACUCUGAUAAGGAAAGUCCCAGGACUUAUCAGCUGGGAUAGGCCUCACUUACAAGACAGCUCUGUUCAGUAUUUGGAAGAAAGCCUGACAGGUUUCUUCGGAAAAGUGGCCAUCCAUGGAAUGAAUGAAAUGUUCUCUUUCUAUUCCAGGGAUUGCAGUGGCAAAGCUAGGCUAGGUCUUGGAGGCUGGUGUAAGGCGAUGUGGGUGAAGGCAGGAGGCUGAUGGAAAGACUGGGGGGAAGAAAAGCCGAAAUGGAUUCACGGUGCCUUGGAUGAAGGACGAGAGGGGAACUGCAAGCUCCUUCAACUGGUUCUGUCCGGUGAGAAGUGAUCAAGCUUGGGCUGACAAGAGGCUCAGGGAGCCCUCACGUUCUUUCGCUUUUUUACCUGCCAAUCAAACUGCUACAAGACAACACCCUGAUCUGGCAUGGACAUCGCGGGUCCAAGCCUGUAGCCCCAAAUCGGAUAAUCUCUGCAGCUGAUAACAAGCAAAAGAGAAGCCAGGCAACAGCCAUAUUAAAGAAGAAAACAAUCAACUCUGAGAUCCAACUUAGAAAUAAUGUUUCAUUCAAGAUAAGGCUCGUGGCUUAGGAGAUUGUGACCUGGCUUGCAUCAUUCUAAGACUUCUAUCGUCUGUUUUCAAAACCCAAGGAGGACCUCCUUUUCUGUGUGAUAGUUCCUCAUGCUUUGCCAGCCACUGGGUCUUUAAGGAAGCUUGCCAAGAGUUCCCGGCUGGGAAGGACAGUUCGAGUUCAUCAUAGACAAUGAGCUGGCACCACAGUUUAAGUGACUCACCAACCUGGUUGCCCACUUCAAAAUGUCAAGAACCACACUAUCUAAUUGAAAGAACUGUGUUUUAGCAAAGUGUAAUUGGAUCGCCUGGCAAGAUCAUCUCAAACUAUGUCUCUGACCUUGCCUUUCAGUGGCUAUUUUGAGCACAAGAGGAGAAAGGAAAUGAUUCCUGAAUUAUAUCUUGUUUUUAAAAAUUAAGAUUAAUUAAUACUUGGUUUUAUGUUCAUUCCAUUGUAGGAACUUAGUGAUUAUUACAAAACAGUCAAAAUAGGUCAUAGCAAAAUGAACGUUUAAGAUUAGGUUAAAACAUUCCUCUGAAAUUUUAGUAUUCACUUUUGAAGUGUCAAUUACUAUAUUUCUGUAAUUUCUCAUUUUUUUCUUGGCUUAGAGUCAAGAUGAAAAAUGAUAUUUGAAUCAAAGACAUUGUUUUGUUAUAUAGCCACUCCUUUCUAAAAUGCAAAUCCACCCUCCCCUCACCAAUGCUUUAUUCUUUGUGCGCGCACACACACACACACACACACACACACACACACACACACACAGACAUACACAGAACCAGCACCCAAAUGGUAGAGGAGGUCCUUCCAAGACUUCUAGGACCUGGAUCAUGUAAGCAGUAGAUGAGAAAAUGAAGUAAGAGAUAUAGAGUAAUAACAAUAAAAGUCAAUGAUUUCAUUUUACAAAAAAGUCAUUGUGUAGUACUCAGAUAUUUUUAAGAGCAAGUAUUAUUAUGACUAAAGUAUAUUAUACUUCUAAAUUAUUAUGAUUCUCAUCUAAUUUCAAGCCACACAUAGGCGCCAUUUGAAAGCAUUUUGUGUUACAACCUAUCAACAAAAAUCAACUAAUAGUUUUAUAACGUGCAUAGGUUUACCCCAUGGGGAAUUAAAAUUUUUAUCUGCAAGUAUUUCUGUUGUUGUGAGACUUUAGGACAAGACAACAUUUGGUGUUAACAUAGAAGAAUAUUCUAUGGCUUUUUUAGCUUUAAAGUUCAUUACUCUAAAAUAAAGUACACGUGGUAUUUUUUUCUUCCUAGUGUUCUCUUAUUAUAUGUAGAGUAUUUUCGGUUGUUGUUUUUAACGUAUACAUUAUUUUUAUUAAGUCAUUUCAUAAAAGAUAAGAUAUAUACUAAUAGACCCUUGGUUUUCUCCUAAUUUAAUUAUUUCAAGUCAAGCAAAAUUGGGCAAUUUUCUUUCAGGAAAAAAAAAAUAUUGAGCAUGAUUUUGAGGUAAAACUGAUUAUUUACAGCAUCUUUUCUCUAAUAGGCUAACAUUUAUGAUGGAUCUUAUUUCAAAGUUGAUUAUUCUCAAAGAAAAGUGGAGAUAUUAGAAUUUCCGAGUAAAUUGCAUUGUUUUAAAAAGUACUUUAAUGCAUUGUUCACAUUGUUGCCAGCUAUUGACCAAAAAAGAGAAGAAGAAAAAAGAAAUAAAAAAAGCAGUAUCUGCUCCAAACGUCAAGUUUUGCAGUUUGAAAGACUUGUACAUUAUAAUUGUUUUUUUCUUUUUUGGAAAGCAGUAGUAAUUAAUACCAAAGGCAUAGACAAUUUAGGGCCAUAACCUCCCUUCCCCCCUCUCCACCUUUUUUUUUUUUUUUUUUUUUUUUUAACUUUAACCAUGAUAGGCAUCUCUGCAAGGUAGGUUUUAACAUAUUUUUUUCCUAAUUUUUUUCCCUCCAUUCAGUAAGAAGGAUAAGCUUUUAGAGUACCCAGUCACCGUGGUAACUGCCAAAAAAAUUCUCCUGAAGUUUGAAGAGGUCAGCUAGCAGGGUCAACAACCCUGGCCUCUCUCUGAGCUCGGUCUAGCAUGCCCCAGCCUGCGGUUGGAGUGUCAGGCCAGAUCUGACCCUGGGAGGUGGACCAUUCUGGCUCUGAUAUAAAUUUUUCGAGUCAGUUCAUGGCCUGGACUCUCCAGGUGGCCUCCAAAAUCGAUUUUGACCCCCUGACCCUGUCUCACGGAGGCAUAGCAUCCACCCUAAGUAAGGAUUUAGCCAGGAAUGACAGCUUUCCACUGAGUGUUAUUGGGGACAGUAUAAACAGUUUGGAAAGCAAGUAAGGAGGUGUGAGGGCUAGCAAUCAUUAAAAGCACAUUAAAAAACAAUUUUUAAAAAUCUUUAUUAGAGAAAGUUGUAAAUGCAUAUCUGUUACAGAAUUCCUGUGAUUUGUAGAGUUUUCUAGUCAGUUUUGAAUAUAAAUAGGUCACAUAUCUUUAUCUUUUUGCAUACUUUGUUACAAAUAUGCAAAUAAGAUAGGCAUACUUGCUACAAAAUAGGUACAGCAGGAAUGUAAUAUGUUCAGAAAAGGCAAACUGGUUAUUAAAACACAUUAACAGGUAAGGAGUUUCUAAUAUUUUAAAUACUAAAAUUUUACAUGUGUAUUUUGAAGUUUUUAAAAUGGAAAAAUAAAGAACCUUUAA
rnacentral:lncRNA from 10 species